rnacentral:lncRNA from 1 species
GUGGUUACAAGCAGCAGAGCUGCUUUCAGCUGCCUGAGGCCACAUACAAAAGAAAAGAGAUGAAGAAAUAAGAGAAAUGUUCUCCAAGGUUGAAGAGAGGCACUAUUCAGUUUCCUGGUUAACAGACUCUCCGGAGUGUGACUCAUAAGCCCUUGCAGCUCAGACAGCGUUGCAGAAUGAGCUACCAGCAACCUCUUUGUCCUUCACAUGAUGUUACUGAAUCAGCUCAAGAUAACUCAUACCUUGGAGCAACCUCACAUUGCAAGAAGGAGCGUUAUUUCUCAACAUAGAACACACAGAAGACAGAAUUAACUCCAUGAUAUAGCUGCAUUACCACCCUGCUAUUCACUUCCUGACUUCAGCUCAAGUGCCUACAGGCCCUGUCCUGCUAAGCUCUGUACAAGGCCUGACAUUUGACACCCAAGACCCCAGGACUUACACAGAGGCACAAGCGGAGGCCCUGGGGAAGAGGUAGGGAACGGGGAGAAAAAAAACAACAAAUCAGGAGAGACAUUUGCCUUUUUAUUUUUUUUUCUUUCUUUUUUAUUUAUUUAUUUUUAUUUUUUAAAGAAGCUACAGAACAAAUUGUAACUGUAAUUGGAAUUGAUUUAACAGAAGAAGAUCGCACUGAGUUCUGCUCCCUGCUUUGCGUAGGUUGUGCUGAUAAGGUUGAUCUGAGGUGGUGGGAGAAGAAAGGCAGGCAUGGAGAUGUUUGGGGGAGCAAGAUGGGUCUCAUACCCUCAGUUCUGGGAUUACCCACCUAUCCAAGGUGUAUGCAAUUUUAAUACAGUUAACUUGCGCUUGAGAACUGUUAGGCUGAGCGAGUGGACCAGCCAUCUCUAUGAGGGUCACA